GCAGAUGGCACUGGCAGCUGCUCAAGCUGGUACUCCUCCUCAAUGCUUCUUGUUCCUCUGCUGGUGGACACUGCCGGUUGGGCCUCGUGCUGGCAGAGGCUGGAGAGCCCAGGAGGAGGGCAGCUGGGGAAUCUGACUUUUAUGGCUGAAAUGAAAACUCCCCUGGGUGGCCUGGAGGAAGUGUUCUGACCCUCUCUGAAUUACCCGCACUGAGAUGGCCGUGGCACUUCUGACUCCACAGAAAAGCUUGAAGGUCCAAUUUCCAUCUUCAGGAGGGAAACAUCUCCUGCUUCUGCCUUCAGACAGCCUUUCUCUGUGCUUCUUUGUGAGCCAUUUCUGAGAACCGCCUGCAUUCUGUUGCUAGUGGUGAAUUGAUUGAGAAGAUCCUUUGUUGAUAGUCCAGCUUCAAAAGCAUGCAGGCUGCUGUUUGUCUUCUUUCUUCCUUCCAACGGAGGAUAUGCUCCUACAGAGGAGUGGGGAAAAACAAAAAUGCCCUUUUUAUUUACUUAUAACUUCACUAAGCUUUUUGUAAAGGGGCCAUAGUAUCACUAUUUUGUGGGGAGUGGCAAAUCAAAGGCAUUGCAGCCUCUUUCAUCACUGCCGAUUGCUGAUGCCAACCAUGUGCCAAGUGCUUAAUACGUCACCUUAAAUCUUCUCAUCCACCCUCAGAGUAGCUGCAGCAUCAACCCAGUGCCCUGACUUUCAAGACGACUAUGAAAACACCCCAACUGCUGCUAAAUUACCAGCAACAAGGAUCUGAUGGCCGGUUUGACACAAAUUAGAACAACCUUGAUAGCUGUCAACUGGAGACUAUCUGAGAACAAAAGGACAUUAUUGCAAACCAGCACUGGAGUUUGCAGCAUCACAGAAAAUGAUGCUCUCUCCUGCCAAGUCCCAUUUUUUGGGAGGAGGAAAUGGAUUAGGUCCUGGAGGUUGUCAUAAAUGCAUCAAGUGACUUUCUCAGCAUCAUCUGAAACAUGCAGCCAUCCAGCCCAGAACACAACAAGAAUAGAGUUGAUGAGCCCUCUUCUCCUCAACAAACACCUGUGAAAAAUGGGCCAAUUCACAGCUGCAAUGGUUGGGAGAAUUUCCUGUCUGGGAGUCUGGAAACUGCCAAGAGUGGAAAGCUGCAGCCAGCCAGCGAGGCCUCUGUUGUCACUGGCCCAAACAACAACAAAAACAACCGCAACAACAACAACAACAACAAAACAUGCCACGUGUGCACUGGCAUAUACAAACACGCCCACAGAACCAAACCAAGCGGACAAGGCUUCAAGGAGAGCUUCUGGGCGGCUCAUUCCCGCGGCGAGGCAUAUCCCUUGGCAUGGUGCCACUGCAGCCCAGCUCCCAGCCCCCCCGCCAUCUGUCAUCAGCGCUCUGCCUACUGUGGCAUUUCCCUCUUUGCUCGGCACCUCUCCCUAUUGCCGCCAUAUGAAAAAGGAGGUGUUUGCUUCCCCUUCCACCAUGAUUGUAAGUUUCCUGAGGCCUCCCGAGCCAUGCUGAACUGUGAGUUAAUAAAACCUCUUUCCUUUAUAAAUUA
ensembl:lncRNA LINC01505 long intergenic non-protein coding RNA 1505